ACGACCUUACUUGAACAGGAUCUGUUCUAUAGGAUCGUACCUCUGUGUCCUUUAGCACUAAGGAGACAGGUACCACAGUCUGGAAGAUGAAGCAUGGCCGUACGAUCAGAGCGUGAUUAACGUCUGAGGAUCCUUAGGGGUCCGUGAGUUGUAGAGGAUCGUUCUCAGCCACACGUGGCUGGGGGUGGUCGCACGGUGGCCUGACAGACU